AUUGCUUCUUGGUUUUUUGGCUAAAAUCAAGUAUAGUAUCUUUUCUUGUCAGUUUAACA
rnacentral:snRNA from 1 species